UGCAGAAUAUCACCGACCAAAGUUUGUUUUUGAUAGCUGACAAUUAUCAAGAACUAGAGGCAUUAAAUAUUACUAGGUGUGUCAAGUUGACAGAUGUUGGGUUGCAAAAGAUACUUCCUAGAUGUGUUGGCCUCCAAAGUUUAAACCUUUACGCUCUUUCAAGUUUCACAGAUAAAGCUUAUGAAAAUAUUGCAAAUUUAGUAGGUCUAAGA